AUUUAGUUUUGUCUUACCAUUUCCAAAAUAUUAGUUUUUAAAUAUUUAAUAUUAAUAAUAUUAUAUAAAAUGAUGAUAUUAUACUUAUAAUGAGGAACAUUCUAUAUAUAAAAAACCCUAAUUUCAAGGGUGUAAUUUUUCAGAGUGUAUGUCAGAGAAGAUGAUGAGAGCAAUGGAACUAUUCGGGGAGAUGGAUGAGCAGGUGUCGUCAAUGGCGAUGGAUGUUGACGACGUCGACCCUCUCGAGACCUUCGCCGAGGGUGUCAUCACCGCCGACCUCAAACUUGCCGAUGUGAAUUUCUUCAACAACUUCGAAGACGAUUUCGAUGAUGCUGAUAUCAACUAAUCAAUACGAUUUUGUCACAGACGACAAUUGAAAUUGUUAAGGAAUAGGGAAGAUUGAAUUGCCUUGAAGUCUUGAGAAGCAAGGAUGGUACUAGAAGACAAAUGAUUUAAUGUUUUUAAUGCCUUUCGUGUCCUCCUUUGUUGUUUAAGACAUAUCUUUUUAUGUUUUAAUGUUUAUGUUUCCUUUAUUUUUCAAAAGAGUCUUCAAGUAUGAUGUAUGUCAAUUUACAAAGCACCAUGAUGUCGUAUAUUCUUUUAGUAAUACCAAAAUUGUUCAUCCAAGAUCAGUAAAUAGUUAGUUCAAUACAAUAAGCAUUGACAUAUUUCGUUUUUAGCAUAG
rnacentral:sRNA from 1 species